rnacentral:rRNA from 1 species
UGCAGUCGAGCGGAUGAAGGGAGCUUGCUCCUGGAUUCAGCGGCGGACGGGUGAGUAAUGCCUAGGAAUCUGCCUGGUAGUGGGGGAUAACGUCCGGAAACGGGCGCUAAUACCGCAUACGUCCUGAGGGAGAAAGUGGGGGAUCUUCGGACCUCACGCUAUCAGAUGAGCCUAGGUCGGAUUAGCUAGUUGGUGGGGUAAAGGCCUACCAAGGCGACGAUCCGUAACUGGUCUGAGAGGAUGAUCAGUCACACUGGAACUGAGACACGGUCCAGACUCCUACGGGAGGCAGCAGUGGGGAAUAUUGGACAAUGGGCGAAAGCCUGAUCCAGCCAUGCCGCGUGUGUGAAGAAGGUCUUCGGAUUGUAAAGCACUUUAAGUUGGGAGGAAGGGCAGUAAGUUAAUACCUUGCUGUUUUGACGUUACCAACAGAAUAAGCACCGGCUAACUUCGUGCCAGCAGCCGCGGUAAUACGAAGGGUGCAAGCGUUAAUCGGAAUUACUGGGCGUAAAGCGCGCGUAGGUGGUUCAGCAAGUUGGAUGUGAAAUCCCCGGGCUCAACCUGGGAACUGCAUCCAAAACUACUGAGCUAGAGUACGGUAGAGGGUGGUGGAAUUUCCUGUGUAGCGGUGAAAUGCGUAGAUAUAGGAAGGAACACCAGUGGCGAAGGCGACCACCUGGACUGAUACUGACACUGAGGUGCGAAAGCGUGGGGGAGCAAACAGGAUUAGAUACCCUGGUAGUCCACGCCGUAAACGAUGUCGACUAGCCGUUGGGAUCCUUGAGAUCUUAGUGGCGCAGCUAACGCGAUAAGUCGACCGCCUGGGGAGUACGGCCGCAAGGUUAAACUCAAAUGAAUUGACGGGG